GAACAGGGCGGGACUGUAAGCCAGCUGGAAAAAGUUUGGAGCCAGAGAUACAUGAGAAGAGUUUGGACAGUACUGGAAAUCAAACCCGAGGCUUCUCACAUUGUUGGCAAGAGCUAUGACCCCUGACCUACACCUUCUUGUGCUCGCGUUUCUUUCUGAAAGACAAAACAGAGUGACAUUUCAGAAGACUCAACUGUGUGGGUGCAAAUUGCAGCCUUGGGACUUUCGGCUGCACGAGACUGGACAAACUUCUUAACUUCCUUGUACCUCAGUUUCCCCAUGUGGAGGAAAAGCUAAUAGUGC
rnacentral:lncRNA from 1 species